rnacentral:lncRNA from 1 species
GUUAUCCAUCUUCAUUUAUUCUUGCCAUAAACUUAGCAACCAGAUAAAGUAGAAGAAACGAAACCACACCAGUUUCUGAAAAUCCACAGUUCAAUUUCCUUUCCUGCCUUGAAGAUCACCCCUCCAAGUUACUUCAAAAUGUAAAAUCUUGUAUGUACGGAAGUGGAGCUUAAAAUCUGCAGGAAUGAAUGUCUGGUUAAACCAUAGAAGCUAAAUCUGAAUUGAAUCUUGUGGAUAAGAAACAUUGUGCAGUUCAUCUGCGAAAGAAGACUGCUGCUGUGGAAAUGAAGAAAGGCUUCAGUUUUGCUGCUGUCUAUUGUCUGGCAUCAUGUUCUGCAGGCAAUGGAAAAUGCUUGCUACAGUUCAAUAAUGGAGGGAGGAAACAGCUGGUCUGCACAUUCGUGAGUGAACAGCAUUUAAUAAGCUUCCAGGGCACAAAAGAAGAAAUGAUGCAACUUGAGGUGGAUCUUGGUGAGGAAGCAAUGCAGCAUGGCAUGAAUUGCCUGCCCCUAUCUGGAAAUCACUUGUGUGAGGUUGCUCCUGGAAUUGCACAUUUUUCAUGGAAGGAACCAAUUAAUCUUUCCCAGUGUUACUGCAGUGCUAUUUACUAUGCUCUGGUGAUCCAUCAUUUGCCCUUCUUUGGCUGCUCCAAUGCGAAUUGUCAUAAUUGUUAUGGCAGCAUGCCUGAAAGUAGGAAUUACCAUCUCAGUGGAGCAGUGGGACACACCAUGUAA